AAACCGUAAUGGAGGCACUGAGUGAUGUAACUUUUAAUCCUCUCCCAAGCUUCACAGAAAAUUUCAUUGUUUUACUGGUUGAAACCUGAGAUCCCGUUCCUCAAUCU